AUGUUCGUUUGUGUUAGAAUGACACAGCAUGCCAGUGCUGGUAGACUGCUUGACCACAGUAUUGCAUUGGAUAGUGAUGCAACAGAACCAAGAACCACUCAAAUGCAUGACCAACAGCAUAAUAUAUUAAGGGACACGUUUUAAAAAUGCAAAGGACUUUUGGGUCUACUUGCUCCUUAGGAGUCUUUGUAAAUGUGAGCUUAAAGAUUUAUAAAGAUGCAGCUAAACAUUGAAGAAGAACUGUUUGCUGUUCGAAAAACCGGGUUCUCGUUUCCAAAAAAGUUAUUAAUCUUUAUUUUGGAAUCUAUUUUUAACCUUAAACUUUACAGGAAGUUUCAUCACAGCUAUGAUUAUUGCAAAUCUACCGAAGAGGAAAUACUGUUUACAGUUACAAUCUGCUGGAAGAUGUAUCUGUCACUAAUUUUCUUUUGCUUUACAGCUGCCUGCUGGCGUCUUUCAACAUCUCUGUAUUCCAGCCCUGAGUCACGGUAUCCCACAGGUUGAGAGGAAUGCUGGAGGCUGUGUUAUCCUGCCCUGCAAAUACAACCAGAGUGCUGUCGAGGGAGCUGAAGGAUCUAUUGACAUUGAAUGGACUGUCAGUAAUGUUGCUAACCCACUGAUCUGGCUGUCUGGGGGCAAGGUUUUUAAAAAGGUCCCAAGACUGAGCCCCAGGAUCUCUUUCAUGGCUCACAACAGCACCUCUGGAGAUGCCUCUGUGUGGAUUGUCUCCCUGACAGCAGAAGAUUCUGGGGUUUAUCGAUGUAAAGUGCGAAAAGGGGGAUACAGCAAUCAGAUUAAUGUUAAUGUCACAGUUUUAGAUAAAGAUAUGUUCGAUCCAGCUGUUAUCACAGAAAAUAUCACAGAGAUCCAGAGAAAUGUUGGAGAAAGCGUUAUUCUCCCGUGCGGAUAUAACAAGAGUGCCGCUGAGGGAGCUGAAGGGAAUGUUGUUAUUGAAUGGAGCGUCAGAAAUCAAGCUAACCUCACAAAAGUACUGAUAUGCCAAUCCACAGUCUAUGAAAGGAACCCAGGGAUGAGCCCCAGAAUCUCUUUAGUGUCUGACAGCAAUAUGACUGGAAAUGCUUCUGUGUCGAUUGUCUCCCUGACAACAGCAGAUUCUGGGCUCUAUCGCUGCACAGUGUGGAAAGGAUGGCACAUCUUGCAUCAGAAUUCCGUUAUCGUCACUGUUUUAGGUGGGGAGGCACCAGCAGCGGCUUUGCUAUCAGUAUAUAUCUCCAUCACUUUGGUUGUGUGCAUUGUAUUGAUCACCCUUUUGCUUCUGGGAUACUGUCAUUUCAGAACAGUAAGAAAUAACUCAGCAUCGUCCUUGAAUUAUAAGGAAAACGAACUGUAUGAAACUGUCCAAAGGCAUAAAUGAUACAAAGCAGCUCCUCCAGCGGUGUGAAGAGAAUUAACAGGAGAAGGAACAACCAGCAACACCACCAAAACAAAAGCUUUGAACUCUGUGUUGCCAUGGUCACCUUGGAACACAAACUCCCUGACAAUGCACAACCUACAGUGAGAAGUAUUGCAGGGCUGGAAUAGCCACCCUGAAUACACUUUUAAUAUAAGGACCCUUUACAGUGAUGGUUAUCACUGGUAUUGAAGAGAGCAGCACAGGCUUCCUGAACUGCAGGAACUCUAGUUUCUAGCGGCAUCUGAUUGUAAUUAAAAGUUCUUAGUAUCAUAAAACUGCUCAGGGGUUCCAUGCAAAACAAGGUAGCUCGAGAUCACAUGUACGGUAGUUAGACUGAAGGCUUAAAUAAUUAUUCUCUCCUGUCCCUGCAUGCAUAAUCGUACCAUGUUAGGUUUUCUGUCGAUGCUAUAGUUUAUAAUGUAUGCAUGUUCUUUCAGCAUCCUGGCAGGGCACCUUCUAGUACCCCAUAGAGUUCACAUUAACACUUUUAAAAAUGUAAAAUAAAACAAUUAUAACCAAAUGCAAUUGAUGAAUAAUAAAUGGGGCGUAGCUGAAAAAUGCAUAUGUGUAUAUCCAGUGUGGUGUUUGUCUCCGACACUGUGAUGAUUAAGCAUGUUUCUGAAUUGCCUGUCCUCGUGUUGAAGCCAGUGAGGCAUUCUGUCUUUGAAAUAGGAGAAGAGAGAACAUAGUCAAGAUAUUUGUCCCGGGCUGGCAACCCAAUGUGAGGAGAAUGCGAGAAGUACUAGCACUUCUGAAAAUACACUAAGUCAAUCUUCAGUACCAAUGCAUACAAAUGAGGAGAAAAGAGGAAUCGCUUUCAGUGCACUGCGCAGACGUACUGCAUGCUGGUUCCAGACAUUAAUGACAUGAUGAGGGGAUGCUGUGCCUGCCUUAGCUGCUAUUGUUUUAACACUUGUUUGCUGUGAAUCCAGUGAUCUUAUUACACAGUAAAGAAUAAAUAUCAGCUUGUGUAAAAUAGUGUGCCCUGAAAGAGCAAGAGAUAGAGAGACAGGAUGUCUCACUUACAGAUGUGAUGUGAACAGAUCAAUCAGCAGAUCUCUGACUAGCAUAUAAACAGCAAGGAGCUCUAGCAGUGUGCCUGCUGAGACUUCUCUAUUGAAUUGCAUCAAAUUAAAAGCUCAGCUGCUCAAUGUUGGGGGGAAAAUUUGUACAGGUCUUACAUAGUGAAGCAAAGCGAUGGUUCAGACAGGGAACUCACUUUUAACCACAGUUCAAAUCACGUCAACAUCAAGCAUAUUUUAGGCGCUUCCAAUACAAAUCGUUCAUUUCGAAUAGCUAGUAUCUUAUCAGUCUUUCGAUUACCUGUACAUUCAGUGAUUGACAGGGAAAGGAUUUAUAUCAUACCUCAAUCCAUUACGU